UACGGAGGGUGCAAGCGUUAUCCGGAUUCAUUGGGUUUAAAGGGUGCGUAGGCUGGGCGGUAAGUCAGUGGUGAAAUCCUGCAGCUUAACUGUAGAAUUGCCAUUGAUACUGCCGUCCUUGAGUGCGCUCGACGUGGGCGGAAUGUGCCGUGUAGCGGUGAAAUGCUUAGAUAUGGCACAGAACACCGAUAGUGAAGACAGCUCACGAGGGCGUUACUGACGCUGAGGCACGAAGGCUAGGGGAGCAAACGGG
rnacentral:rRNA from 1 species